rnacentral:rRNA from 1 species
GAUGAACGCUAGCGGCAGGCCUAGCACAUGCAAGUCGAGGGGUAGAAGUUGCUUGCAACUUUGAGACCGGCGCACGGGUGCGUAACGCGUAUGCAAUCUGCCUUGUACUGAGGGAUAGCCCAGAGAAAUUUGGAUUAAUACCUCAUAGCAUUAUGAUAUGGCAUCACAUUAUAAUUAAAGUUCCAACGGUACAAGAUGAGCAUGCGUCCCAUUAGUUAGUUGGUAAGGUAACGGCUUACCAAGACGAUGAUGGGUAGGGGUCCUGAGAGGGAGAUCCCCCACACUGGUACUGAGACACGGACCAGACUCCUACGGGAGGCAGCAGUGAGGAAUAUUGGUCAAUGGGCGCAAGCCUGAACCAGCCAUGCCGCGUGCAGGAUGACGCAUCUAUGGUGUGUAAACUGCUUUUGUACAGGAAGAAACACUCCCUCGUGAGGGAGCUUGACGGUACUGUAAGAAUAAGGAUCGGCUAACUCCGUGCCAGCCGCCGCAGUAA